GUAGGGAAUAUUGGGCAAUGGAGGCAACUCUGACCCAGCCAUGCCGCGUGCAGGAAGACGGUCCUCUGGAUUGUAAACUGCUUUUGAAUGGGAAGAACAUACGGUUUGCGAACCGUACUGACGGUACUAUUAGAAUAAGCACCGGCUAACUCCGUGCCAGCAGCCGCGGUAAUACGGAGGGUGCAAGCGUUAUCCGGAUUUAUUGGGUUUAAAGGGUGCGUAGGCGGCCUUAUAAGUCGGUGGUUAAAGGUAGCAGCUUAACUGUUUUACAUGCCAUCGAUACUGUAGGGCUUGAGUGAUUUGGAGGUAGCUAGAAUUCCCUGUGUAGCGGUGAAAUGCAUAGAUACGGGGAGGAAUACCGAUUGCGAAGGCAUGUUACUACGAAUUAACUGACGCUGAGGCACGAAAGCGUGGGGAUCAAACAGGAUUAGAUACCCUAGUAGUCC
rnacentral:rRNA from 1 species